UCUCUCUCUCUCUCUCUCUCUGUCCUUUCUCAGUGCAUUUGCAGAUCUCUUUCAAACUCCUCUAGGAUCUGCAAAUGUGCACCGUAUCGAUUCUACUCCCGAUUCGCUGUCUUCUCGCUUUCUCUGCAUUUCUCUUGCUAAAGCUCAGUUCACAGGUUGUAAUUUUGUCUGGCCAGAGGGAAGUUCAAACUGCUUACUAGGGAGAUUUAUAAUGACUUGGAGGACAUACUCUGGAGAAAAUUG
rnacentral:misc_RNA from 1 species